AACACAUUACCAACGCCUUUUGAGUAUUCCUCCCAGUGCAGGGUGCCGGGAACCCAGACGGAACAACUCAGCCUCUUUCCUCAGGGAGUAAGUCUAAGACCUGGCUUCGAGUACAUUCGGUGAAAGAAAGCUCAUUGGGAGCCGCAAUUUUGGCUAGCUAGUGAAAAAAAUCACCGAAUGCCCCUGCAGGGGUUGCCAGGACUUCCUAUUUGUUUUUGUUGUUGUUGUUGUUGUUGUUUGUUUUUUGUUUUUUUUGAGACGGAGUCUCGCUCUGCGUCGCCCAGGCUGGAGUGCAGUGGCGCGAUCUCGGCUCACUGCAAGCUCGGCCUCCCGGGUUCACGCCAUUUUCCUCCCUCAGCCUCCCGAGGAGCUGGGACUACAGGCGCCUGCCACCAUGCCCGGCUAAUUUUUUUGUAUUUUUAGUAGAGACGGGGGUUUCACUGUGUUAGCCAGGAUGGUCUCGAUCUCCUGACCUCGUGAUCCGCCCGCCUCGGCCUCCCAAAGUGCUGGGAUUACAGGCGUGAGCCACCGCGCCCGGCCCGGGACUUCCUAUUUGUAACAGGGCCACUCACGUUAACUUUAGCCAUCAAAACUGGGGGCGGCUGGGCAUGGUGGCUCAUGCCUGUAAUCUCCGCAAUUUGGGAAGCCGAGGUGGGAGGAUUGCUUGAAACCGGGCGUUCAAGACCAGCCUGUGCGAGAGAGCCUCCAGUCUCUACAAAAGUAAAAAUUAGCUGGGCAUGGUAGUGUGUGCCUGUAGUCCCAGCUGCUCAGGAGGCUGAAACGGGAGGAUCGCUUGAGCCCAGGAGUUCGAGGCUGCAGUGAGCUAUGAUCGGGCCACUGCACUCCUCCUGCCUAGACGACAGAGUGAGACCCUGUUUUUUUUUUUUAAUUUAGUUUUUAUUUCAUAAUCAUAAACUUAACUCAGCAAUCCAGUUAGGCAUGGAAAGGAACAAGGAAAACAUGGAACCCAAAGGGAACUGCAGCAAGAGCACAAAGAUAAGAUACUGCGAGCAGGCCGGGCGUGGUGGCUCACGUCUGUAAUCCUAGCACUUUGGGAGGCCGAGGCAGGCAGAUUGCCUGAGCUCAGGAGUUCAAGAUCAGCCUGGGCAACAUGGUGAAACCCCGUCUCUACUAAAAUACAAAAAAAAAAAAAAAAAGAAAGAAAGAAAGAAAGAAAAAAUUAGCCAGGCAUGGCGGCGUGCGCCUGUAGUCCCAGCUACUCGGGAGGCUGAGGAAAGAGAAUUGCUUGAACCCGGGAAGUGGAGGUUGCAGUGAGCCGAGAUCGUGCCACUGCACUUCAGCCUGGGAGAGGGCGACAGGGUGAGACAGCGUCUCAAAAAAAAAAAAAAAAAAAAAUACUGCAAGCAAAUGGGGUGAAGGGGUGCUCUUCUGAGCUACAAAAGGAAUGGUCUGGUGGUUAAGAUAAAACAAAAGCCAAACUUGUUAGAGUUGUCCACAGUCAGCAAUGGUGAUCUUCUUGCUGGUCUUGCCAUUCUCGGACCCAAAGUGCCCCAUGGCCUCCACAAUAUUCAUGCCUUCUUUCACCUUGCCAAAGACCACAGGAUUGCCAUCCAGCCACUCAGUCUUGGCAGUGCAGAUGAAACACUGGGAACCAUUUGUGUUGGGUCCAGCAUUUGCCAUGGACAAGAUGCCAGGAUGUGUAUGCUUUAGGACGAAGCUCUCGUCAUCAAAUUUCUCCCCGCAGGUGUACUUGCCACCAGUGCCAUUAUGGCAUGUGAAGUCACCACCCUGACACAUAAACCCUGGAAUAAUUCUGUGAAAGCAGGAACCUUUAUAACCAAAUCCUUUCUCUACAUUGCUCAGAGCACGAAAGUUUUCUGCUGCCUUUGGAACCUUGUCUGCAAACGGCUCGAAGGACACGCGGCCCAAGGGCUUGCCGUCGACAGCGAUGUCGAACACGGUGGGGUUAACCAUGGCUGAUCGUACAGAGCUCCUGGCGUCGGUGGCUGCAUUUGCAAAGCCGAGACCCUGCUUUUAACAAAACAAUAAUAGGCCAGGUGCGGUGGCUCACGCUUGUAAUCCCAGAAGUUUAGGAAGUGAGGCGGAUGGAUCCCUUGGGCCCAGGAGUUCGAGACUAGCCUGGGCAACGUAGUGAAACACCCUCUCUACUAAAAAUACAAAAAUUAGUCAGGUGUGGUGCCGCGCUGUGGGGUUCCAGCUACUUGGAAGGCUGAGGCAGGAGGAUCGCUGGAGCCCAAGAGGCAGAGGUGGCAGUGAGCCAAUAUGGUAUCACUGCACUUCAGCCUGGGUAACAAAGAGACAGGAUCUCUAAGUAAAUAAAAUAAAUAUUAAAAAAUGACGAAUAGAUAAUAAAAUAAUUGUUGUUCUAAGCUCUACGGUUUGGAGUGGUUUAUCAAGUUGCACUAGAUAACAGGACCAAUGGCCAUUCUCUUUUUCCCAUGCAUUCCUGCAAUUUCCUAAUCUUUUGAAAGCUUCCUUUUUUUUCGAUUAAUUAAUUUUUUUUUUUUUUUGAGACAGUCUCACUCUGUCACCAGGCUGGAGUUCAGUGGCACAAUCUUGGCUCACUGCAACCUCUGCCUCCUGGGUUCAAGUGAUUCCUGCGUCAGCCUCCCGAGUAGCUGGGACUACAGGCAUGCGCCACCACGCCUGGCUAAUUUUUGUAUUUUUAGUAGACAAGGGGUUUCAUCAGAUAGGCCAGGAUGGUCUUGAACUCCUGACCUCGUGAUCUGUUCGCCUCGACCUCCCAAAGUGCUGGGACACAGCCGUGAGCCACCGUGCCCAGCCUGAUUCAUCUCUUAAAUCUUGAGUUGCUUUAGCUUCCUGCCAGUUAAAAGGUAGAGCAUGAUUUCUGUAAUAAAAAUAAAGGAGCUUGACUUCAUUCAACAAUAUUUAUUCAUUUAUUUUUAGAAAUGAGGUCAGCUUAUGCUGCCCAGGCUGGACUCAAACUCCUGGGCUCAACGAUCGUCUUGCCUCAGCUUCCCAAGUAGCUAGGACUACAGGUAUGUGCCAUGGAGGACUGGCUUCAACAAUAUCUUGAGUGCCUAAUAUGUGCCAAGCAGUGUCUUAGAUGCUUGGUGUUGCAGAUACAGCAGUUAAUGAUUAGGACUUGUCAUUUUUUCCAGAAGGAGGUCUGCUUAGACCCUGAAAAAAAAAGGGGGGGACUCAUAUCCUAAAACCAGCCUAUCUUUGCCUUGCCAUGAACUGACUGAUCUGGCCACAGGAGGCCUGAAGUCUGACUACCCCUCUAUAGAAACACAGAGAUAUUCUCUCUUUGGUAUUACCUCAACCAAGACUUGGAAAUUACAGCAUGGGUUUGAGUGCCUUCUUCCACUCCUCCUCCACUGUGCUGAAGAGAUAUUGAGUUCUUCCAGAUUUUUGCUUAGCUGGGUGGUUUCCAAACUCAAUGGACUCUCUAGGUAGGUAAUUCCUGCACAGGGCUUUCCUGUCACUGGAUUUAUGAUUUUUCCAACUUUGAAAACAAUCUCGGCCAGUUCAUGUUUCACAUGCUUUGUUCGCGGAACAGGUAAAGCUCUGAGAAGCACAGUAUCACCAACUGUGCACUGCUGAAGGGCAUCGUGAGCAAAGUAGGUUUUCCGCUUAUUGUAAUACUUUAAUAAAUAGGGAUCCAGAACAAGCCUGGUCACUCUCACUUUAGCAGUCUUUUGCAUUUUUGUCCCAAUCACCUUCCCCACGAUCCACUUGGCAUGGGUGGAUGAAUGAACUACGGACAUUAUGUGGCUUUGGUCACCUCCGCCACGACUGUGCAGCCACCUCCAGUUGUUCUUUCGAUUCAAUAUAGUGCUCCAUGAAAAAGCAGUAGUUCAACUCGCAGCUCAAACUAUCACAAAACUGUUUCUCUUGGAGACAACCAUCAUACUUCUUUUGUAUGCACAGAAGGGUUAAAUGUGUACUUCCCAUCUCAUCAUACAGAAUAUUAAAAAGACACAUACUCAGUAAACUAGUAUAUUUGGUAGCAAAAAAAAAAAAAA
rnacentral:lncRNA from 1 species